rnacentral:tRNA from 1 species
GCGGGGAUACCCGAGUCAGGUCAAAGGGGCAGGACCGCUACUGCACGGCGGGGCCACACUUAAGAUCCAUAAACGUCUCAGAUGGGCUAGAGAAGGCAUCCUGUGGCGUAGAGCCAUGAGCGCGCAAGCCUUCAGGGGUUCGAAUCCCCUUCCCCGCA